rnacentral:rRNA from 1 species
UACGUAGGUGGCAAGCGUUGUCCGGAUUUAUUGGGUUUAAAGGGUGCGUAGGCGGUCUUAUAAGUCAGUGCUGAAAUAUCCCGGCUUAACCGGGAGGGUGGCAUUGAUACUGUAGGACUUGAGUAAAGUUGAGGUUGGCGGAAUUGACGGUGUAGCGGUGAAAUGCUUAGAUAUCGUCAAGAACACCGAUAGUGUAGACAGCUUACUAAGCUUUAACUGACGCUGAGGCACGAAAGUGUGGGGAUCAAACAGG